rnacentral:rRNA from 1 species
UACGGGGGGGGCAAGCGUUGUUCGGAAUUACUGGGCGUAAAAGGGCUCGUAGGCGGCCAACUAAGUCGGAUGUGAAAUCCCCAGGCUCAACUUGGGAACUGCAUCCGAUACUGGAUGGCUUGAAUUCGGGAGAGGGAUGCAGAAUUCCAGGUGUAGCGGUGAAAUGCGUAGAUAUCUGGAGGAACACCGGUGGCGAAGGCGGCCCGCUGGGCAACUGCUGACACUGAGGCGCGACAGCGUGGGGAGCAACAGG